GCGCUCCCAGCCUGUCCCAGAGCAGAGGGAAUCCAGCCCUUGGAGCCCUUUUGGGGACAGAUCUGGGCCGUUUUGGUUGCUGUGGGAGCUCCCACCACUUCUCCAGCUGCAAUAAAACCCCUUUUCACCACGUCACCAAAACAGCCUCGUCACCGAAACAGCCUUGGCGUCAGCGCAGCACAAGGAUGUGCCCAGCCCACACGGGCUCCGGGGAGGAACCAGCACAGUCCUUCAAACCAAAGGCUUAAUCCCAAAUGGAUACGGAUAUUCCUCUCAGAGCAUCUCCAGAGACCCUCACUCCACGAUGUCCCCAGCACAUCCCUCAGAGAGGGUGACAUUUUCCAGGAAGGCCUUGAACUGCCAGUGAACUAAAAGAGGAAAAUGUGUCUUGAUGAUUAAAUUUAAAUAAGUUUUAAUGAAGAUCUGAGCAGGAGGAGGAGCUCACAUCCAGCUCCACACCCAGCAUCUGGGAGCACGUCCAUAGCAGUUGUGUGGCUGCUCUCCUGCACCAAGGGGAAUCCAGACUGUCAGAGACCUGCUUUAAAUAAUUUCAAAUUUUAAAUACAUAUAUUGUCCUUG